GUUCCAUCUUUGGGUAAGGUUCCUCGCUUGUCUUUCUGGUAGUGCUCAGCCUGUACACUCUGGAGAACAGGAACUGGGCCCUUUUCACCCAUAUUGCCAAGGGCUACCACUGUGCCUAUUGGGUGUCUGGCUCUUGGUGAAUGUUUGUUGAAAUGGUGAAUGAAUGACUGAUCUUCCUUUUGUUCUUUUCUUGCUGCAUCCUUGGGUAUGUGUUGGGGACCGCCUCUCCAUGGCUUUUGCAGGCUAGGCUUGGCCUAUGCUGGCUCAAAUCGUGAAGAUGUCCUAACACUGCUGCUGCCUGUGAUGGGGGAUUCAAAGUCCAGCAUGGAGGUGGCAGGUGUGACAGCUCUAGCCUGUGGAAUGAUAGCAGUAGGGUCCUGCAAUGGAGAUGUAACUUCCACUAUCCUUCAGACCAUCAUGGAGAAGUCAGAGACUGAGCUCAAGGAUACUUACGCUCGUUGGCUUCCUCUUGGACUGGGUCUCAACCACCUGGGGAAGGGUGAGGCCAUCGAGGCAAUCCUGGCUGCACUGGAGGUUGUGUCA
rnacentral:sRNA from 1 species